rnacentral:rRNA from 1 species
AACGUAGGAGGCAAGCGUUAUCCGGAAUUACUGGGCGUAAAGGGCGUCUAGGCGGCGGUACAAGCGCGAUGUGAAAGCUCCUGGCUCAACUGGGAGAGUGCGUAGCGAACUGUGCAGCUAGAGGCCAGGCGAUGGGGGGUGGAAUUCCCGGUGGAGUGGUGAAAUGCGUAGAGAUCGGGGAGGAACACCAGUGGCGCAAGCGG